rnacentral:rRNA from 1 species
UACGAAGGGGGCUAGCGUUGUUCGGAAUUACUGGGCGUAAAGCGUGCGCAGGCGGCUUCUCAAGUCAGGGGUGAAAGCCCAGAGCUCAACUCUGGAAUUGCCUUUGAGACUGAGUGGCUUGAGUACGAGAGAGGUGAGUGGAAUUCCCAGUGUAGAGGUGAAAUUCGUAGAUACUGGGAAGAACACCGGUGGCGAAGGCGGCUCACUGGCUCGUAACUGACGCUCAUGCACGACAGCGUGGGGAUCAAACAGG